rnacentral:lncRNA from 1 species
GACAAGAUCCAGAAGCUUUAUGAACGAAAGAUAAAGGAGGGAAUGGAUAUGAACUACAUUAUCCAAAGGAAGAAAGAAUUUCGGAACCCUAGCAUCUACGAGAAGCUGAUCCAGUUCUGUGCCAUUGACGAGCUUGGCACCAACUACCCAAAGGAUAUGUUUGAUCCCCAUGGCUGGUCUGAGGACUCCUACUAUGAGGCAUUAGCCAAGGCCCAGAAAAUUGAGAUGGACAAAUUGGAAAAGGCCAAAAAGGAGCGAACAAAAGUAAGUGAUGGCAGACCUCCUAGAUGAAAAAGGCACAUGUGGAGUGCAUGGGUCCUGCUGGCUGAGCCCAGAAGGUGUCCAGGCUGCCCCCAACCCUGGCCCCGUGUCAUCACCCGGCGAUGCUCUGAGCCUCUCAGCAGGGCCUGUGUGCUGAGCAGACCUGCUGGGUUCACGGCGCUCGUCUGCUGCUUUUGCCCUCGGAGACUUGUUUGCUACAUUGUGCCCCCCUUUCCUCCCCGCCAAUUGCAGAGCCUUGGGGGGCUUUGUCCGUUUUGGGUCAUGGGGGCCCUUUGUAGCCUGAAGGGAGGGAAAUAGUUCCCUAAGAGAGUGCCAGGCCCAGCUUGCGCUGCUCGGUGAGUGUCUUGGCCUCCAGAGCUGCCCUCAGUGGCUCGCCUGGGUGCUACCUAUUAGGUCCCACGUUAGGGCCCUGAGCACCACUUGUUCCCUGGCAGUGUGGUCUGGGUUCUUCAGGGAGCAUCAGUUUGGCUGGGAGACCAAACUGUUAUCUCUGGGCCUUGUUCCCUUUGUGACCAGUCUCAGAGCCGGGCAUCAGGACACCAGCUCCUCCCACUUCUGGCUCGGCCUGACCAUCCUCAAGCAGCUGCGGCCUCCAGACCGCUUCCCUCACCCCAAGCAGAGGGGCUGUGGGGCCUGGGCAUGCUGGUG